AGAGUUUGAUCCUGGCUCAGGAUGAACGCUGGCGGCGUGCCUAACACAUGCAAGUCGAACGGAGUGCCAAAGACAAACAUUUCGGUGGGCGACUUUGGUAACUGAGUGGCGGACGGGUGAGUAACGCGUGGACAACCUGCCGUGUACAGGGGGAUAACAGCCGGAAACGGCUGCUAAUACCGCAUAUGCGCACAGUGCCGCAUGGCACAGGGCGGAAAACGAUAGUGGUACACGAUGGGUCCGCGUCUGAUUAGAUAGUUGGCGGGGUAACGGCCCACCAAGUCGACGAUCAGUAGCCGGCCUGAGAGGGCGGACGGCCACACUGGGACUGAGACACGGCCCAGACUCCUGCGGGAGGCAGCAGUGGGGAAUAUUGCACAAUGGGGGGAACCCUGAUGCAGCGACGCCGCGUGAAGGAAGAAGUAUUUCGGUAUGUAAACUUCUAUCAGCAGGGAAGAAAAAGGACGGUACCUGACUAAGAAGCCCCGGCUAACUACGUGCCAGUAGCCGCGGUAAUACGUAGGGGGCGAGCGUUAUCCGGAUUUACUGGGUGUAAAGGGGGCGCAGACGGCCAUGGCAAGCCCGGUGUGAAAGGUGCGGGCACAACCCGCAGACUGCACUGGUAACUGCCUGGCUGGAGUGCCGGAGGGGUAAGCGGAAUUCCUGGUGUAGCGGUGAAAUGCGUAGAUAUCAGGAGGAACACCGGUGGCGAAGGCGGCUUACUGGACGGCAACUGACGUUGAGGCCCGAAAGCGUGGGGAGCGAACAGGAUUAGAUACCCUGGUAGUCCACGCCGUAAACGAUGUAUACCAGGUGUCGGAUGUCAAAGGCAUUCGGUGCCGCAGCAAACGCAAUAAGUAAUCCACCUGGGGAGUACGCCGGCAACGGUGAAACUCAAAGGAAUUGACGGGGGCCCGCACAAGCGGAGGAACAUGUGGUUUAAUUCGAUGAUACGCAAGGAACCUUACCCGGGCUCAAACGCAUGAGGACAGUCCCUGAAAGGGGAUCUUCUUCGGACCUUAUGCGAGGUGCUGCAUGGUUGUCGUCAGCUCGUGCCGUGAGGUGUCGGCUUAAGUGCCAUAACGAGCGCAACCCCUAUCGACAGUUGCUAACAGGUUAAGCUGAGGACUCUGUCGAGACUGCCGGCGCAAGCUGUGAGGAAGGCGGGGAUGACGUCAAAUCAGCACGGCCCUUACGUCCGGGGCGACACACGUGUUACAAUGGCAGGUACAGCGGGAAGCCACCUGGCGACAGGGAGCGGAACCCGAAAGCCUGUCUCAGUUCGGAUUGGAGUCUGCAACCCGACUCCAUGAAGCUGGAUUCGCUAGUAAUCGCGCAUCAGCCACGGCGCGGUGAAUACGUUCCCGGGCCUUGCACUCACCGCCCGUCA
rnacentral:rRNA from 1 species